rnacentral:misc_RNA from 1 species
GGCCUCUAGAGCUUUAAUACCAGAAUCAAUUGUGGUUAUUGCAAUUACCUGACACACCAUCAUCAAAAGCCAAUAAAGCUAGAACCUGAAAUAGAGAUCCAAUAUCCAUCACAAGAGGGGGAAAUGAAGGUGAUGGAGUUGAUGAUAUGUGAUGGAGACUGCAGUUAAAGGAGGUCGAGGAGAGGGUUCAGAACUAAAAUUAAGGUAAGAGGGAGUGAUCUAUUGUAGUGUAGAGGGG